UUAAUUAAAUAUUAAUAAAUAAUAUUACACGAAGCUGGAGGAGCUAGUUUUACUAUAUUAGUAGAUGUAUAGGUGUUGCAUAACCUAAGAAAGGGAAAACUGGGAGUGAUAGGCUUUACACAUUCAGCGAUAACUUGAUUAUCAACAAAUGUAUUAAUACAAAGACACUUCGGGAAUGAUAAGGUUUUCGAGAUGAAUUAAUUAUUUUAAAGAAAUUAUAUAUGGUUUAAUUAUUAGUGUGUUUAUAUAUUAUAAUUAUAUUAUUAGAAUUAUUUACAAAAUUGAUAGAUGUUUUAAUUACUGUGUACAAAUAUAAUGUUAAUAUAAGUAACAAUCAGAUAUUAUUAAUGAACUCGGCAAUAAGUCCUCUAACUGUUUAUCAAAAACAUAGCUAUAUGUAUUAAUAUAUAGUGAUUUCUGCUCAAUGAGGUUUAAAUAGCCGCAGUACCCUGACUGUGCAAAGGUAGCGCAAUCAAUUGGCUUUUAAUUGAAGUCCGGUAUGAAAGAACAUAUAAGGGGGCUUCUUUAUCAGUGAUAAUUUAUGAAUUUACUAAUUAAGUGCAAAUACUUAUAUUUAAACAAUAGACGAGAAGACCCUAGAAAUUUUAAGAAUUAAUCUUUUUGUUGGGGCAACAAAGUAGUAAGUAUUAAUCUACUAUUGUUACAUGAAAGGUAUACCUUGAAAGAUAAAAUUACUCUAGGGAUAACAGCAUAAUUUAUUAAAGUUUGUGACCUCGAUGUUGGAUUAGGGAAUUAACAUUCAGAAG
rnacentral:rRNA from 1 species